CCAAUGUAAACAUAACCGAGAUAGCGUGUUAGAAAAAGACAGCAGAUAAGAAUGGUGUUGCUAUCUUUUUUUAUCACACAUAGUUAUAUGAAUUGAUUACCAAUACAUUUUAAAUUCGUUGUUCGUUUAACGUUUUGACUUUUGUUCUGCCUUCUGCGUUCUCAAAGUUUUAAAAAUAAUUAAAAUAGUGUGUACCUACUGUGCAGUUAAGACUUAAAAUGGUGAAUUUUUGUAGUGCCUUUAAUUGUGCUAGCUCUAGUGAUGUUAGAAAAGACUUGUCAUUUCACAAGUUCCCUCUUAAAGAUAAAGAGAGGCUUCAAAAAUGGGUGCAUGCUGUUCGAAGGAAAGAUUUUAAACCUAGUUCCAAUACUAACUAGUUCCAACAACUACUAAAUAUUUUCAUUGAAAAAUAUCUAGCUGAAGUCAACUCAACAUAAGUUACAUUAGUUAACUUAACAGAUCAUAUAACUCCAAGGUUAUGAAUAUAGUUAAAGUAUCUACAAAGUAUCAUAGUAUCUUUAAAUAUUUAUUUAUUUUAGGAAAUUUGGCCAUGAAGUAUAACAAAAUGUAUUGCAGAUUUUGUUUUUCUGGAUAUUUCCAGUACUAAUAUUUCCUAAAUUAUAAAUCUACAAUAUUAAGCUUAAGUUAGGAAAGUAGUAAGUACAAUCUAAAGUAAGUAGUAGAUAUAGCUCCAGGUAAAUAGCGUAAGUACACUUUUAUUUCAAUUAUGAUUAAUAUUAUAAAUACUAUGUUUAUAUUUUAAUAAAUAUUAUUUUACUAAAAA